CUGUGCGUAAAGCGCACGUAGGCUGACAUUUAAGUCAGGUGUGAAAUCCCAGAGCUCAACUCUGGAACUGCCUUUGAUACUGGGUGUCUUGAGUGUGGAAGAGGUAAGUGGAAUUGCGAGUGUAGAGGUGAGAUUCGUAGAUAUUCGCAGGAACACCAGUGGCGAAGGCGGCUUACUGGUCCACAACUGACGCUGAGGUGCGAAAGCGUGGGGAGCAAAC
rnacentral:rRNA from 1 species